AUUGAACGCUGGCGGCAGGCCUAACACAUGCAAGUCGAGCGGUAGCACAGGGAGCUUGCUCCUGGGUGACGAGCGGCGGACGGGUGAGUAAUGUCUGGGAAACUGCCUGAUGGAGGGGGAUAACUACUGGAAACGGUAGCUAAUACCGCAUAACGUCGCAAGACCAAAGAGGGGGACCUUCGGGCCUCUUGCCAUCAGAUGUGCCCAGAUGGGAUUAGCUAGUAGGUGGGGUAACGGCGCACCUAGGCGACGAUCCCUAGCUGGUCUGAGAGGAUAACCAGCCACACUGGAACUGUGACACGGUCCCGGCUCCUACCGGAGGCAGCAGUGGGGAAUAUUUGACAAUGGGCGCAAGCCUGUUGCAGCCAUCCCGCGUGUAUGAAGACGGCCUUCGGGUUGUAAAGUAUUUUCAGCGGGGAGGAAGGUGUCGAGGUUAAUAACCUCAGCAAUUGACGUUACCCGCAGAAGAAGCACCGGCUAACUCCGUGCCAGCCGCCGCAGUAACAC
rnacentral:rRNA from 1 species